GAGCCUGGCAGGCUACAGUGCCUAGGAUCACAGAGUCUGACAUGACUGAGCGACUAACACCUCAAACUUCAACUGGAUGCAAUUUGAAGUAUAGUCAGAAAAGAGUGGGAAGUGGGCACAAAGUUGUCGAAUAGUUUGAGUGGUUAUGCACUUCUGGAAGUUAUUGCCAGAUGCAGGAGGAGGGCAGCAGGGAAGUCCUCUGGGAAAAGAUACCAGAAGUAGAGCAAGCCACACCUCCUUCUCCCAGAACUCCUCAUUCCUAUGCUUGUGAACUUUUUUAGAUGAAUCAUGGACCUGGAGGUUAAAAAUGUAUUGUAAAACAAUGGGUUGGCCAAAAAGUUCGUUAGGGUUUUUCUGUACAAAAUUUUUGGCCAACCCAAUACAUCAAGACAUCACCAAAUCAGCUUACUGGAGAAGCAUGGUGGGAGAUUCUCUUAAUAUUAGAAAAAUGUUACAUCAAGAAAUAGUCUUACAUUACUCUCAAGUCAUUACAAAUACAGGUGAUGAGUUCACUGAAGCUCAGUGUUUUGAUGAAGCAUAUUACCAAUUAGGUUUUAUUUUUUUCCCUUUUUACUUUGAAAUAAUUGAAGCACUCCCCACUUGAUAGUAUCUACACAAUUGCAUACUAGAUGGUCGGAACCAGCAAAAUUGCAUACCAUCAAUUAGUUUUUAGAGAUGUCAAAGUUUGUUACAGAAUUUUAGAUCCCUGCUGAAUACUGAAGAGGGACGUUUCCCUGGAAACAGCCUAGUCACAAAGGUGAAGGUGAGGAGCAGAGAAGUCAGGUGUCUUGAUUUGAGCAAUGUUUCUCAAUCCUGGUGAACAUUCUAGUUGCCUGGACUAUGGGUAAAAUUCAACCACUGCCUAGGCCUAUUGCAAAUCAAUCAUAUUAACUGCUACAAGUAAGACUCAGGCAUCAGUAUGUUCUAAAAGCUCCUCUGGGUAAUUCUCUAGUGGUUCAGUGGUUAGGAUUCAGUUUUUUCCACUGCUAAGGGCCUAGAUUCAAUCCCUGGUCAGGGAACCAAGAUCCCCACAAGCUGCUGCGAUGUGACCAAAAAUAAAUAAAAGCUCCUCUGAAGAUCCUUAAGUGCAGCCAGAGUUCAGAAAUACUGGUGUAAGGUUGAUUUAAUGCUUUUUCUAAAAUGAGGAUUUUUGAGUUAUGUUGCGCUUUCGAGAUCACACACAAAAAUAUCAAAAUAUACAAAAACUCUUUGCUCUAUUUGUAGAAGUUUCAAUUCGCUUUCUAUAAUUAAUCCAAGUAAGCCUUAAAACUGAGCUAUAUAAUGGGCGAUGGGGCGUCUCAUCUCCAGACCAUGUCUCCUAGGUUCAGGCGAAGGAUAAAAAUGGAGUAAACCCAGACAUACUUUUUGUCUAGCUCUAGCUUCUAGUAGUUUGGAUCGGUAUCACUGUUUUUACUUCAAACUUCAGGAAAUUUGGAGAGCUACUAAUAUCACAGAGGAAAUAUAUAUAUAUGGGAGAAAUCGAUCCCAUAUAUACACCGGAGGUCGAUUUCUCCAUACUGCUAAUUGCAUCAAUCACGCAGGAACACAUAGACUCCUUUCUGGGCAUAAUCAAAUUACCUCUGUAAGGCCUCGCCCUAAAACUAUUUUUGGAAACUAGGGAUUUUCCAGAUUAGCGAAAGCUGUGGCGUGGUCACUGGCUCAGGCCUGUUUCAUAAUCUAAGCCGCUAAAGCAGCCGCCCUCGCAGUCAAUACGAAGCCUGCGCCCUACUUGAUACCUCUGGGAAUCACAGGCUCACGGUGAGCUUUUUUCCCCCACUUGGAACCGAAGUCGUUCACAUUCCUGUUUUCUAAAAAUACCGUAAAGCAACCCACUCCAGAUUCCUCGCGGGUCACUUUAAAUUACAAGUUCGGCCCUACACGACACCGGAGUAACCACUUACACCCGCCAAUGCGGGCGAAGGUCGAUCCGCCGCCUCUCUUUGUACUCGCUGAACCUGCGCCGCCCAAAUGCGGAGAGUUCGGAGAGGAAGAGGGACGGGAGCACACGGACGCACGUUCUAGAGGAAUUAGCAAAACUGUGCAGCGGUUACAGUAAAUUUGCGGACUCGAACUUGGAGAUAAGGUAUCUCGUAAAGCUCCCUGAUUACUCUUUUGAUUAAAAAUACUACAAACGAGGCGAGGCGGUUUGAGGUUGUGUUAGUAAGUAGACCACGUCCCCAGCCACUCUGCGGAACCAACGAAGAGGUCAUCCGGGUCACCCGACGGUCCCACCCAGAGGCCUGCGCUCCGCGGCCGGCGCGGGCGUAGGCUCCGCGGGCGGAGACGCCGCCUGAAGGGACUAGUUGGCACGCCGGCUGGGCGUGGUGACGUCAGGGCGGAAGCGCACCCUGCGUGAAGCGGCCAGAACCCGGCGGUCACGGGAAUAUCCGUCGCGCCGAGAACGCUGGUUAGUCUCACUCCGGGUUCCGGCUGCGUUGGGCGUGCGUGCAGCUCGCUGAGACUAUGGCGUCCGGGCCUCACCCGACCGCGACCGCUGCCACCGCCGUCUCGUCUGCUGCCCCGAGCGCGGGCGGGUCAAGCUCCGGCACGACGACCACGACGACGACCACGACGGGGGGAAUCCUGAUCGGCGACCGUCUCUAUUCAGAAGUUUCGCUCACCAUCGACCACUCGCUGAUUCCGGAGGAGCGGCUAUCGCCCACCCCGUCCAUGCAGGACGGGCUCGACCUGCCCAGCGAGACGGACUUGCGCAUCCUGGGCUGCGAGCUCAUCCAGGCCGCCGGCAUUCUCCUCCGGCUUCCGCAGGUGGCGAUGGCAACGGGUCAGGUGUUGUUUCAUCGGUUUUUCUACUCCAAGUCUUUCGUCAAACACAGUUUCGAGAUUGUUGCCAUGGCGUGUAUAAAUCUUGCAUCAAAAAUCGAAGAAGCACCUAGAAGAAUAAGAGAUGUGAUUAAUGUAUUUCACCACCUCCGCCAGUUAAGAGGAAAAAGGACUCCAAGCCCCCUGAUCCUUGAUCAGAACUACAUUAACACCAAAAAUCAAGUUAUCAAGGCAGAGAGGAGGGUGCUAAAGGAAUUGGGAUUUUGUGUUCAUGUCAAGCAUCCCCAUAAGAUCAUUGUUAUGUAUUUACAAGUCUUAGAAUGUGAACGUAAUCAAACCCUGGUUCAAACUGCCUGGGUAGUCCAUGAUGGUAAGUCAUAGAACUCUGCCCUCUGCACUUCAGCCCAUGACCUCAGGAUGGCCUGAUUGGCUGCCCUGCUCUCCAGCCAAUCCAGUGCAAGCUCUCAUCCGAGAUUCACUGAAGUGGUCCAUAUCCAUCUGGCAGCAUCUUCUAGUUCUGUCGGGUUGUCAAAAGGAUUUGUAUAUUUGCUUCUAGAAGUAACUAUUCAACAUGCCUAUGUAUUUAAUGUAUACCUGUAACUAUCAAAAUGAAUAGUUCAUUUUUGAUAGAUUUGUUGUCCAGCCAUUACUUAAAUGAUUUUUGCUAGGAGUUUGACUAGAUUUCUAUUUUUAGUUUGUAUAGCAUGAAUUCUACCAGUGGAAACAGCAGCUUAAAAUGGGCACCAUUCCCGUUCUUGAUGAAUGUAUAGCUGUUGGGCUAUUGGAGGCAAUGGUAUUAGAAGUAAGAAGUACUUCAUUUUAAAGAGCUGUUAAUUUUAACAUAGAACUCGAAAACUUAGAUUUUAGAGCUAAAGAUGUGUGAUUUGUAGUGCUGACUUAAAAGUUAAAAAAAGGAGUUUGUGGUUCAGCCACAACUACUGUCUUAAGACUGUUGAUGUGCAGUACUUAAGUGAUGUAAUUCUUAUGUUCUGGACUUAACGACUGCCAUGCUUCUUUAUUAGUAAUAUUAGAAAAGUCUCAUUGCUUUUAUAAAAUGCAUGACUUUGAUAUAUGUUCUAUAAAACAGAUUCUUAUCAGUUUUCACGGGUUAAGGACUUUUAAGAAACAGUCUUAGUUUAACUUUUUGAACAAUUUGUAAAAUUUAUUCAAUACUUCAGGAAUAUUGUGGGGAGGGUUCACUAUUAUAAAAGUCCAGUAAUUUAUUAACUGAAGUAGUUACUGCUUUUAUUUAUAUUUAGUCACACUUGUAUAUAAACAAGGCUGUUAUAUAUAUUAUUUGCUCUUCACUUCCCAACCUAGGUUUUCUGAACUAGCUUAGUUUUCUUAAUUUGGUGCGUGCUUACUGAAAAUGCUUUUUUAUCCCUAUCACAGUAUUGAAUUUUUGACACUGCUUUUCAUUGUGGAUAAAGGAGAGAGAUGGUCAAUAACUAAUGGCUUGAAGUAUUGUUGGAGUGGUUUGUCAUUUCUGAAACUAAUCAUGUCGGAACUUUCGGAGCAUUGCUUUUCAUGUUUUUUUAAAAAACUGUUCUAUGUGGAGUAAUAAUAUGGAAUUAUUAUUUUUUUAAUAUGGAAUUAUUUUAAAGGACUUCGGUCCUAUUUGGGAGACAUGAAUGAUUCUAGUGUUAAAUUCUUAUCUCUCACUGCUUUUUGAGUUAAGAAUUGUUAUAUGCUAGAAUACUGAAAACACAAAUAUGAGAAGAAAAAAGAAUAAAGUAGAUUGAGUCUCCAAUUUUAUGUAAGCUUCAGAGGAACUGAUUUGUAUACAUACAAAGCUUAUGGUUGAAAUAUUUUUCAGGAAUUAUAUGAAUGACAGUCUUCGAACCAAUGUAUUUGUUCGAUUUCAACCAGAGACUAUUGCAUGUGCUUGCAUCUACCUUGCAGCUAGAGCUCUUCAGAUUCCAUUGCCAACUCGUCCCCAUUGGUUUCUUCUUUUUGGUACGACGGAAGAGGAGAUCCAAGAGAUCUGCAUAGAAACACUUAGGCUUUAUACCAGAAAAAAGCCAAACUAUGAAUUGCUGGAAAAAGAAGUAGAGAAAAGAAAAGUUGCCUUACAAGAAGCCAAAUUAAAAGCAAAGGGAUUGAAUCCUGAUGGAACUCCAGCCCUUUCAACUCUUGGUGGAUUUUCUCCAGCCUCUAAACCAUCAUCACCAAGAGAAGUAAAAGCUGAAGAGAAGUCACCUAUUUCCGUUAAUGUGAAGACAGUAAAAAAAGAACCCGAGGAUAGACAACAGGCUUCUAAAAGCCCUUACAAUGGUGUAAGAAAAGACAGCAAGAGAAGUAGAAAUAGCAGAAGUGCAAGUCGAUCAAGGUCAAGAACACGAUCGCGUUCUAGAUCACAUACUCCAAGAAGACAUUAUAAUAAUAGGCGGAGUCGAUCGGGAACAUACAGCUCGAGAUCAAGAAGCAGGUCCCGCAGUCACAGUGAAAGCCCAAGAAGACAUCAUAAUCAUGGCUCUCCUCACCUUAAAGCCAAGCAUACCAGAGAUGAUUUAAAAAGUU